rnacentral:rRNA from 1 species
AAAAACAUAACCUUUAGCUAAACAAAUAUUAAAGGCAACGCCUGCCCAGUGAACAAUUAAACGGCCGCGGUAUCCUAACCGUGCAAAGGUAGCAUAAUCAUUUGUCUACUAAUUAUAGACCUGUAUGAAAGGCAAAAUGAGGGUCCAACUGUCUCUUAUAAUAAAUCAAUUAAACUGAUCUCCUAGUAAAAAAGCUAGAAUAACAACAUAAGACCAGAAGACCCUGUGAAGCUUAAACUAAACUAUUAAACCAUAUAAUAAAUACUUUCGGUUGGGGCGACCUUGGAAAAAAAAAGAACUUCCAAGACCCAGCACAGCUGAUAAUUGAACCAAGUUACUCCAGGGAUAACAGCGCAAUCUUCUUCAAGAGCCCAUAUCAAAAAGAAGGUUUACGACCUCGAUGUUGGAUCAGGACAUCCUAAUGGUGCAGCCGCUAUUAAGGGUUCGUUUGUUCAACGAUUAACAGUCCUACGUGAUCUGA